AAAGAAGCAGAAAAUACAAGAAAAUUGGAAGAGUGGAAGAUCUGUGAGAAAAAAAAGUGGUGAGAGUUGAGAAUUUGUUCUUUUGAAUUUGGGAAAUUUAGAAAAUUACAAGUUGAAAGACUUGUGAAUCAUGAAAAAAAAAUCAUCAAAGCAAGUAGUAGGAAUUGUAAGUUUGUAUUCAGUUUUCAACCAAAAUUUGUGUUCCCGGAGUCCGAGUUCUUCACAAAAUAUUUAACGGAAGCCUCACGUUUGCUGCCCCAAAAAAGGUGCGAGCAUGUCCCUUUUAAACUUUGAUUUUUUCAUCUCUUUGUUCUACUGUUAUCCUGUUGGUUUUGGAGUAUAUGAUCUCAUUUUAUUUGUGGUUGUUGUUGUUUCCAGUUGCCUUCUUGGAUGAAAAAAAAAAUAUUUUUUUAAAUUUUAUGAACUUGUCUCAUGGUCGAUCAUGUAUAUUAGCAAGUGAAUGUCUGAUCCAUUUUGGUUUCAAAUCGGUUGUCGUGGUUUGUUUAUCAAGUUUUGUGAAUACGAUUUCGUUUAAGGCCUAUAUUGAUCCAAUACGUAUGGCUGAUUCGUUAUUCAUUCUAAAAUAUAAAUUUGUGAAAUAAAGGAAAAGUGUGUCUUCUCACUCUAUUCCACUUUUAGUAAACUUUUGUGCUUUUUGUUACUGUCACGAAUUUAAUUUUAAGAGGGAUGCGUGAAAUCGUCCCGUUUAAUCUCAUACGAUUAUUGUGAGUGGUUCUUCUUUGUGUGUAAGUACGCUACAUAUGUAGUUAUGGCUUUAAUUCAUUAUCCAGAUGACAUAGAACUCAAGGGGAUGUUUGAAUUUCCUUUUAACAUCGAUAUGUUCGUUUAAAAUGUAAAGAAUGUGCAUUUGUCUUGAGUGACUAGAUUUGAUUUGUAAGAAUGUGGGUGCCCAUGUCUUGAAUUGACAGUGCUUUUCAACAUUUGGGCCAGAUUGAAUACUUCACGAGUAACCUUCGUGUGGAGUCCUUUUUUAAAAAAGGUUUCACUCUUUCUAUGUAUUUUAUUACUAGGAUUCUAGUGAUGUAUUUUCUUUUCUCUCGAAUUAUAUCAAAGUCACCAGAAAAUGUGGUAGUUUACUUAUCUAUUAUGGAUAUAAAAUAGUUGUUAAGUUGCAUGUAUUAUGUCUCGUGAAAUAUUUGUGGAGAUGGAAAGGGUUUUUUUCUACUUAAGGGUAACCUAAUUAAAUCAUAUUGCAUGAUAAUGUGGUGGAUCAUCAAUUUAAUCAUUUUUAUUGGUAUUGAUGUUUCAAUUACUCACUAGCAGAAUUUGUUUGACUUUGAAUUGUUCUAAUUUGAGGUUGUAUUGAGUGCUUGAAUCUUCUGCACUUUUGAUGUGGGGUUAUCCUCAGUAAUAUUCAUGACCCAUAUUGCAUUAUUUCGUUCCAUUAGAACUUCAUCUAGUAGUACUUAGUUUCCUUAUGUGUUGUCCAACUCAUUCGGUCGCACGUUUUAUUUUGUUGUCCAUAUUACUUUACUCGAGUUUUGUUUCUAAUAUUUAUCUCUCUUUCUUUUUCAUGUAAACUUGAGAGUUGGAGUUUCACAACGAAACUCACUUUUUAAUCCAAGCAUCGGGUCAAUUGCUACUAGGAUUACGAGAGCCUAGAAGUCCCGCAAAUUAGGAGCCUAAGCUCCUAACCCGAAUUUAUUAUCCUUUAUUACCUCUCGAUUUAAUUUAUAUUUCUAUGUUGAAUUUUAUUUUUAAUUACUAAUUCUUGUUUGUUAAGUUUAUUUAAUUAUCGAAUUUGUGUUACUUUGUUAUUCAUUGGUCCUCUUAGAAGUAGCUUUAGCGUAUGGGUUUUCGCAAAUCACAUGAUUGUUGUAGUAAUAUAUAUCUUAGCAUACUUGGGUAACUCUUUUGAAAAACUCAUUGCCAAUACGUUUAAAUAAAAUGACAUAGUAACCUCCACAUUUCGUUUGAAGUACAACAACAAAAGAUAAAAAUUUCAAAAUUAAUCCAAUAGAAAAACACAAUACUAAUUUACGAUUUUUUUUAAAAAAGGGGGUCCUCCUACCCAUUUUAACUUAUUUUUUUCUAAUAAAUAAUUCUAGUGUUUUGCACUAUAUUUUCUUCUUUUCCAUUAUUCAAGUUUUCAGGACAGAAAUGUGAGGUAUAUGUAUUCAUCCGCUACCACGUAUAAGGUAUAUCAUUUUACAUACUACUAUGAUAAUUUUUUAUCGAUCAUUAUUAUUACCAAUAUUACUAUUGUUGUCGUUAUUAUUUAUACUACAAUCAUUAUCACUAUUUUAAUUUAUCAUUAUUAUUACUAUCAUGAUAACGGUUUAAAUAAUUUCACAGGUUUUGCAUUAUAUUAUUACUAUUACUAUUAUUAUUUUUAACCCAUUCAUAAUGCUCCAUAUAUUUCUUCACAUACUCUUAAUAUACAUUUCGCAAAUGUAUUUCCACAUCAUGAAAAAAUAUAUUUGUUUAUAUUUUAGUAAUAUACUUAGACUUCACGUCUUAAAAUUUCUUUAUAAGAUUAAAAGAUUUUGAACUUUCUAAUAUGUGUA
rnacentral:lncRNA from 1 species